AAUGAACGCUGGCGGCAGGCCUAACACAUGCAAGUCGAACGGAUCCUUCGGGAUUAGUGGCGGACGGGUGAGUAACGCGUGGGAACAUACCCAAAGGUACGGAAUAGCCUCGGGAAACUGGGAGUAAUACCGUAUGUGCUCGAAAGAGGAAAGAUUUAUCGCCUUUGGAUUGGCCCGCGUUGGAUUAGGUAGUUGGUGGGGUAAUGGCCUACCAAGCCGACGAUCCAUAGCUGGUUUGAGAGGAUGAUCAGCCACACUGGGACUGAGACACGGCCCAGACUCCUACGGGAGGCAGCAGUGGGGAAUCUUAGACAAUGGGGGAAACCCUGAUCUAGCCAUGCCGCGUGAUCGAUGAAGGCCUUAGGGUUGUAAAGAUCUUUCAGGUGGGAAGAUAAUGACUGUACCACCAGAAGAAGCCCCGGCUAACUCCGUGCCAGCCGCCGCCGUAACAC
rnacentral:rRNA from 1 species